AACACUUUAGCUUUUCUUCUUUUCUCAAAGACCUAAACAAAUUAUCUCAGAGACUAGAAAAAAAAAAAACUCUUAGGCUCACUAACAAAUCUCGUCGCUUCCACCGUUGAAGCUAGUUGCAGCCUCUUCCUCUAUCCUCGCCGUCACCGCCACUGUGGCUGACCGUCUCUCCCCACCCUCCUCCUCCAGUUCCCUUUCUCUCGAAUCAACUCAGCCAAACCCUAACUCCCCUCCAAUGGCUUCCGCCGCUGCCGCCACCACCAAAUUAAACAGACGCAACCGAAACCCCACAUCUCCGCCUAUCAAUCCCGAUCUAUUUCUCACGAUGAAGUUUCAAUCUACCGUGGAGGAGAAUCGCUUUGGGAACAGAGAAGAUGAAUUCAAGUAGAGAAAGGGAUGAUUCGAAGAGUUUUAGAUCGGGAAGUAGAGAGAGAGAGGACAUGGUAAUGGUGGUGAUGGACGGAUUAAUAUACUUCGAUAAGUAGAGAUUCAGUGACUCUUCUUCUUCUCCUUCUUCAUCCUCGCAAAAUGCUGGAGCUUGUACGAUUUGAGAGAGACUUGUUGAAUAUCUCGAGUGGUGGAACCGUAAAAAAAUGUAAAUGAACAAUAGGAAGCAAGCUGCGAAAGAGAAUGCUCGUAAUGAAAAUAAGAAAGUCGUGUCUUCACCUACACGGCUACACCUGUUGAAAAGCCUGAAGCUCCUGAGACAUGCACUAGUAG